ensembl:lncRNA
CAUGUGGGCUGGAAUUGUAUAUUUCCCUUCCCCAUGUCAGUUAGGCUCUAACAGUAUAGCAGGUUAGAUUUGGUUAUUAGUUUCUCCUGAGGCAGACCUUAUUAAGAACAGAGUAACCUGGCAUAUUUCCAAAUUGUUCCUUUUCCCUUCUUUUUGCAGGAAGCAGAGGGGCUUCUUUCUUCAGUGUUUACUGUGGGAACCUGGUCAACCUCCUGGAAGUAAAUCUCCCAAUAUUGCAGGGUACCCCCUUCACCAGCAGCUGGUUCUUUAUGAAGUUUUUAACUCUCAAGAGUUGGCCACACUGGGCCUUCAGCAACUCGUCAACUGCAGUUUCAGUUUUCCUACCAUGGGAUUUGUUCCUGGGGCAGCUUCAUUCUUGAGUGUCUGCUCUGAUGGAAAAAUGAAAAUAGGUUUGGGAACUGCUGUACUUUACUUCGGAGAAGGCAAUGGCAUCCCACUCCAGUACUCUUGCCUGGAAAAUCCCACGGACAGAGGAGCCUGGUGGCACAGUGUUAAAGAAUCUACCUUCCACUGCAGGAGAUGAAAGAGACACAGUUUCGAUCCCUGGGUUGGGAAGAUACCCUAGAGCAGGAAAUGGCAACCCACUCCAGUAUUCUUGUCUGAAGAAUCCCAUGGACAGAGGAGCCCAAUAGGUGGCAGUUCAUAGGGUUGCACAGUUGGACAUGACUGACUUGACUUAGCA